UCCUGUAAUUAUUGGAAUCUUCCCUGUGAGACGAAGUCCUUAGUUACAGAAUUAUCUGCAAAUUCCCACCAUUAAGAUAAACAAUUAGUCGCCAACAAUUAUUUUCACAUACUUCGCGCCAGCGACUAUAUCAGUGCAUAGCGUUCGUCAUAGUAACUGGUAGUGAUGGGCAAAACUGCGAUUUUACGAUAUCAGUGAUUUAUGUGAAUGCUACUUUUCAGUAUCUGCUAUUCUUAACUGUGAUUUGUCGCAGUUAAGAAACUUAGGUUGCGUAUCCCUCCGCUACUGCUAUUUCUGCGAUUUCUGCUACUUCCGCGAUUUCUGUGACUUCUUCGACUUACCACCGUAUGAAAAAUUCUGCUCACACGGAAAAUUGCAUCUGAACAAAUCUGUCAUUGGUACCCGAACUACAUUUCAGUCACUCAGUAAAUUGGUAACUCAAAAUAUCAUUGUCAACAAAUGUGGAGAAAUUGCCACUGCGUCUUUAGACCGUUUUCGUCAGACGAGAGACACAGUUCUGCCUCUUGAUUACUGGUCGCUGUACGUAUCUAUCCACAUCAAGGCUAUUGAGAGAGAUUCGAAGAUUCAAGAUAGCUCUUAGAGGAUUUGCAGUUUAAAAGUGACGUAAUUGUGAAAUAAGUGUGCAGAGAUGAGUGAUUAAACUGUGUUUUAUAUAAGUUGUUAUGCGAUUUUAAAGGAAUAAUAAAUGUUAAAUUCAGUGAUU